rnacentral:rRNA from 1 species
AUUUCAGGUUGAUCCUGCCGGACCUGACUGCUAUCUGAUUGGUACUAAGCCAUGCGAGUCGUUGUAGCAAUACAAGGCGGACUGCUCAGUAACACGUAGUUAACUUAACCUAUGGAUGGGCAUAACCUCGGGAAACUGAGAAUAAUACCCAAUGGACCACAGUGCCUGGAAUGGCCUGUGGUUGAAAUGAUUUAUCGCCGUAGGAUAGGACUGCGGCCUAUCAGCUUGUUGGUGAGGUAAUGGCCCACCAAGGCUAUAACAGGUACGGGCUCUGAGAGGAGGGGCCCGGAGAUGGGUACUGAGACACGGACCCAGGCCCUAUGGGGCGCAGCAGGCGAGAAACCUUUGCAAUGUGCGAAAGCACGACAAGGUUAAUCCGAGUGUCUCCUGCUAAAGGAGUCUUUUGUCAGUUGUAGAAUCACUGGUGAAUAAGGGGUGGGCAAGUUCUGGUGUCAGCCGCCGCGGUAAAACCAGCACCUCGAGUGGUCAGGAGGUUUAUUGGGCCUAAAGCAUCCGUAGCCGGUUGCAUAAGUUUUCGGUUACAUCUAUGCGCUUUACGUAUAGGCCGCCGAAAAUACUGUGCAGCUAGGGAGUGCGAGAGGUCCCGGUUCUCGAUAGGAAGGGGUUCAAUCCUUUGAUCUAUUGAAGACCACCUGU